rnacentral:other from 1 species
UAAACCCUGCUAUGUUCGUGACCGUACUUGAAGUUCUGAGCCAACAUCGACACAUAGGGAGCCCGGUCUCUGGGCGUGGCUCACAGGCCUUCGCACCAGGAGGAAGUGAUAAGCGGUCAGGAGGGCACCCACUUAGUUCUGAGACAGGUUCAGGAAACUUUGAGCGGUCCACGGCAUCGGUGGGGUUUAC